UAGCAAGCCAUAUGCAGAAGAGGUCAUCAUAACUUGUAGAAAGAUCAAUAGGGGACCAACGUCAUGAGGCUAAUACUGAACCUUGGAGUUUCUGACUCUGCAACCAAUAAGCCCCAGAAACAUGAAGAGGCCAAUGACAAAGUUUGCUUCACCAACCAAUCAAUAUUUAUACGGCAUUAUUGAGGAGAACAAUUGAAGCAUCUACGGGAUCAAAGGAAGAGACUGUUGCCUAUAGCAACAAUAUGUGGAAUUACUAGUUCCCUGAGCCAGGUGUUCAUAUUUUAUUGUGGCUAGAUGUGCAAAUGAAAAAUCAAGCAGAAAAGAGAAUUAGAUCAAAUCAAGUGAGUCAUCUAUAAUGAGACGAGGCUCUUUACAAAAUGUUAAGGGGGUAAAUUCAAGUCCAUCUAUUCACCAGUAGGAUAUCUUAAUUAAAAUAGUAUUGUGCACUAAUAAAAUGUACCUCACUAAACAAUAGCGGAAAUAGAUGUAUAACUGAAGAUAGCUUCUGUUCUAAAAGUCUCUUCAGAUCGUUAACAGUGAGAAUACAUCUACAGGGCAUCCAGGUGAUGAAUAUUGGAUCUCAAAAACUAGCUGUGAUACUGAACUCCUCUCUCAAGUUUGUUUUCAACAAGAAAGGUCAAGUGAAGAAAUGAGGAAGACGUUGUAAAAUAAGUUCAUGAAGGAGAGAUGAAAAUUCAAACUCUCUUUGUGAUUUUAAGCCUUUGUAUAAAUAAGACAAGUUAAGAGACAACAGUUCAGCCAUGCAGAGAUGUAACAUCUAUGAUAAGAGUCAUCUUUGAAAAGGGUUAGUCCUUUAAAGAGACUAUCAUCAGGGAGUGAAGGUUAUUUCUGGUCCCUGUUUCAGCUGAGCAGAGGAGUCGCAGCAGCAGAAUUAGAACUCGAACCUCCUACUUAGGGCUCACACAGACUUUCCGUUGGCGACUGCAUUGGGGUGCAUCUCUAAUCAGCUUGCGCGGAAAAUGGAUGCAGUGAGUCAAAUGAAGACGGUCUAUGAAUUAGACCAGGGCUGAGAGGACACAGAACGGGGCUGGAGAUGAGACAAUGAUGAUUCUUGCUUCAAGACAGCUGC